rnacentral:ribozyme from 1 species
GAAAAUCCCACAGAAGAUAGGUCACUAACACUUGUAGGAGGGCCCGGUUGUUUGCGAGAAGAAACGCCACAUCUUCUGGGCGGAUCUGCUGUCCAAGAUCAUGAAGAUGGUCCAAUUUUCCUUGAAUGAACACCAGCUCAAGGGGGCACCUGGCUCGGGUUUCUUUUUUGAACUCGCUCGCGCGUGGACUAGGUUUCUCUUUUUGGCCAGUCACCGAGACAGGAGGAGCUCGGCCUACAGCAAAAGGAACGAACUGCUGGAGAGGGCUUUGUCUCGAUCGACGACACCAUUCUGAUGGAUCGGAUUGAAAGACCUGAUUAAAUAGACACGACU